rnacentral:rRNA from 1 species
GAUGAACGCUAGCGGCGUGCCUAAUACAUGCAAGUCGAGCGAACAGACGAGGAGCUUGCUCCUCUGACGUUAGCGGCGGACGGGUGAGUAACACGUGGAUAACCUACCUAUAAGACUGGGAUAACUUCGGGAAACCGGAGCUAAUACCGGAUAAUAUAUUGAACCGCAUGGUUCAAUAGUGAAAGACGGUAUUGCUGUCACUUAUAGAUGGAUCCGCGCCGCAUUAGCUAGUUGGUAAGGUAACGGCUUACCAAGGCGACGAUGCGUAGCCGACCUGAGAGGGUGAUCGGCCACACUGGAACUGAGACACGGUCCAGACUCCUACGGGAGGCAGCAGUAGGGAAUCUUCCGCAAUGGGCGAAAGCCUGACGGAGCAACGCCGCGUGAGUGAUGAAGGUCUUCGGAUCGUAAAACUCUGUUAUUAGGGAAGAACAAAUGUGUAAGUAACUAUGCACGUCUUGACGGUACCUAAUCAGAAAGCCACGGCUAACUACGUG